AUGAAUCUCCUUGCCUGGAACUGUCGAGGACUGGGGUUGGACUCGACAGUUGGCGAGCUCAAAGACCAGAUACGAUCCCACAACCCAGCGGUGGUGUUCUUGAGUGAGACGAAGAAAACGGCCAGGGCUAUGGAGAAGCUUAAGUGGAGCUUAGGCUUUAGAGAGGGGGUGGCUGUUGAUUGCAAAGGGAAAAGUGGUGGUUCAGCGUUGUGGUGGAGAGACAAUGUGCAAGUGACUAUUCGGCCGUGGUGCCAAUAUUUUAUUGAUGCUGCGGUGAUCUUCGAAGACAAAGCGUGUAGAAUCACUGGAUUCUACGGUGAACCUAAAACUGAACUCAGGGGCAAAUCUUGGGAGGCACUACGUUUUCUUCGAAGACAGGAUGAUCAGCCAUGGAUUGUUCUUGGUGAUUUCAACGAGGCCCUCCUCUUGACCGAGCAGCACGGUGGUAAUUUGAGAAGUUUUGCGCAAAUGGAUGCCUUUCGGGAGUGCUUGGCGGAUUGUGGUUUAGCUGACUUGGGUUUCUUGGAUUACCCGUUUACGUGGGAUAACAGAAGAGAGGGUGCUGAGAAUAUACAAGUUCGCCUAGAUAGAGUUGUGUGCAAUGAUGGUUUUCUAGCCAUGUAUCCUCACACUACGGUGGAACACGUCAUCACCGAGGAGUCUGAUCACAACGCCAUAGUUGUUAAGGCUAGGGAGACGGCUCCCGAUGCCCGGCAGAACGGACCUCGCAGGUUUAACUUUGAAGAGAUGUGGACAAAGCACGAGGGCUAUGAUCCCAUGAUCACUGAGGCAUGGAACCAGGUGGCUGCAAAUGGACUAGGCGCGCGAGCUUUGGCCUCCGGUAUCUCACUGGAGGUCCGGGACUUAGAGAGCCAGCUUCGUGAGCUUUACGAAUGGGAAGAGAUCAUGUACAAACAUCGGUCUCGUGUUGGAUGGCUCAAAGAGGGGGACCAGAAUACACGUUAUUUUCAGAAUAGAGCCAGUCAUCGGAGGCGGAAAAAUACGGUGCGAGCCCUAAGAAGAGAGGAUGGCAGCAGGUGCACCUCGGACGAGGAUAUGAGGGCUAUGGUAGCGUCAUUCUAUGCUAAUGUUUUCGCUUCGGAAGGCUCGACCGGAGCGGACAGGGUCCUUUCACUCAUGGACGAGGUGGUUACUGGCGACAUGAACAAUGACCUCACGGCGGCUAUCUCAGAUGAGGAGGUUGAACGAGCUAUGUUUCAAAUGGGUGCUACGAAAGCCCCGGGGCCGGGCGGCCUGCCCGCUUUAUUCUACCAGAGAUACUGGUCUCUCCUGAAGACGGAUGUGUGCGCGGCUGUACGCGACUUUCUUGGCGGUGGUGCUACGCCGGAUUCCUUCAAUGACACCAUUCUGGUCAUGAUUCCUAAGGUUACUUCUCUGGAGUUGCUAACCCAGUUCCGCCCCAUCAGUCUCUGCAACGUCCUGUACAAGGUGGCUGCCAAGGUUCUUGCAAAUAGGUUAAAGUGUAUCCUCCCAGUGAUGAUUUCUGAGGAACAAAGUGCAUGUGUGCCUGGGAGGCUCAUCACAGACAAUGUUUUGGUUGCAUAUGAGUGCGUGCAUGCGAUCCUCAGGCGUAGAAGGAAGAAACCGCUUUGUGCUGUCAAACUAGAUAUGAUGAAGGCGUACGAUCGUGUGGAGUGGACCUUUCUGGAACAAGUUAUGCGGCGGCUUGGAUUUGCUCAGGGCUGGGUGGACAUGAUUAUGAGGUGUGUUCGGACAGCUAGAUUUUCUGUCAAGCUCAACGGUGGCCUAUCUGAGCUAUUUCUUCCCACCCGGGGACUCAGACAGGGGGAUCUGCUCUCGCCAUAUUUGUUCUUGCUGUGCGUGGAAGGUUUCUCUGCUCUUCUUAAGCGGGCACAGCUGGAAAGGAGCAUCAGUGGGGUUUCUUUCGGUGGCACUGGCCCCCAUCUGACCCACCUCCUCUUCGCGGAUGAUAGCACCGUCUUCCUGGAGGGUUCUCAAGGCAACCUCGAGGCUCUCAGGGAUAUCUUACAAGUGUAUGGGCAGGCUUCGGGGCAGCAAGUAAAUCUCCAGAAAUCCUCUAUUUUCUUUGGGAAGGGAUGUUCGGUGCAUAACAAAAACGUUCUGAAGGGAGUAAUUGGCAUAAACUCUGAGGCCCUCAGCGAGAAGUACCUUGGUCUACCGACGGCGGUGGGCAGAUCCAAAGACGGCACCUUUCGAUAUGUGAGAGAAAGUUCAAAAGGCAAGGUGCUGGGGUGGAAAGGACAGGGUCUAUCUAAGGCUGCGAAGGAAGUGCUAGCUAAAUCCGGGUUACAAGCGACACCGACGUUCACCAUGAGCUGUUUCCAACUAUCCAAGAAAAUGUGCCGGAACCUGACCUCUAUCUCCUCUAACUUCUGGUGGGGUUCAGCUCAUGGUGAAAACAAGGUGCACUGGGUGGCCUGGGACAAGAUGUGCCUGUCCAAGAGAGAGGGAGGCAUGGGGUUCAGAAACUAUGAAGCUUUCAACCAGGCCCUCCUCGGCAAGCAAGCUUGGAGGAUCUUGGAAGUCCCGAACUCCCUUUGUGCUAGGGUUCUACAUGCUAGAUACUUCAAAGACUCGUCGAUUAUGAGUGCACAUGUCCUGCCAAUGCGUCUUUUACUUUCAGAAGCAUCCUUCACGGGCGGGAUCUGCUGCGGGAAGACUUUCAUUCCUGGCUCGACCCGGGUUGCUGACUUGCUCUCGGAGGAGGGAAACGCGUGGAAUGAAGCCAAGGUUGAUGCGAUGUUCACGCCGGACGAUGCUGCUGACAUCAAGCAGAUCCCGAUCGAUGGCCAGGGAGUAGACGACUACCUUGCCUGGAAUUAUACCAAGGAUGGAGUCUACUCGGUCCGGUCAGCUUACCACCUGGCGAUGCAUUUGAGAAAGGCCACCUCUGGACGCCCGGGAUCGUCAUCAUCUGUCAAUUCUCACAGGAACUGGUUAGCCAUGUGGAGUACCCAUGUCCCUAACAAAGUUAAAGUUCAUACGUGGAGAGCCAUGCGCAACGGCCUGGCCACUGGGUCUGAGCUGCUGCGCCGACGAAUCAAACCGGGCGGCUUUUGCACUGCGUGCGGAAGAGAGGAUACACUGCUGCACCGCUUUUGGAGCUGCCCUCACUCGCGACAGUUCUGGGCGGACUUGGCGGACUUGGCGGACAUGCGCAGCAUCCAGGCCCCAUUUCCGCCGGCGGGCAUUGACUCUAAUCAGAAUAUUGGAAGGUGGCUCUGGAACUGGAUGGGAGAAGCUCGGGAGGAGGAAAAAGAGAUGCUCAUGCAGGGGCUAUAUGGCCUGUGGCUAGUAAGAAACGAGGCGCGGGAUGGGGUUCGCAUAAAAAACCCUUCGGCUGUUGCAUGCUUGGUGGCGACACUAAUGGAUGAAUGGGCUGAAGUGGUGACGAAGAAGGCUCGGGUCGUUGCGCCACCGCCUCCUGAAAGAUGGAACCCGUCCGAGACCGACUGGAUCAAGGUGAAUGUGGAUGGCGCGGUCUCUUCUGCCACGGGGAACGGCGGCGGCGGGGUGGUUGUCCGGGAUGACACGAGUGCCUUCCGGUGCCCUGACCCAGCUCUUCCCUAA
rnacentral:rRNA from 1 species